rnacentral:rRNA from 1 species
UAUAUAGUGCGAUUUAAUUUUUUUGGUUUUAGAUUAUUAUGAUUAAAAGUUAAAUUUUAUAUUUUUAAGUGGAAUUUUAAUAUAACUUUGAUAGUUGUUUCUUAGAGGUCGGUAAAUUAAUUAUUAAACUAGGAUUAGAUACCCUAUUAUUAUAACUUAAAUUUUAUUCCUUAUGAUUAAAAGUUUUGGUCUUCAAAGUAAAAGGAUUUGGCGGUAUUUUAGACUUUUCAGAGGAACCUGUUCUUUAAUUGAUAAUCCACGAUUAGGUCAACUUUUUUUAUUAAUUUAUAUAUCGUUGUAAAUAAAAUAUUUUUUUAGAUUAUAUUUUAAAAAUUUUAUUAAAUAUUAGUUCAGAUCAAGGUGUAGUUUAUAAAAAAGUAGAAAUGGGUUACAUUUUUAUUAAAUUGGGAUUUCAGGUUUUAAAAAUGAAUGAAUUUGGAUUUGAGAGUAAAUAUAUAUAUAUUUAUAUAUUGAUUUAUAGCUCUAAAAU